UACGUAGGGGGCAAGCGUUGUCCGGAUUUAUUGGGCGUAAAGGGCGCGUAGGCGGCCACGCACGUCCGUUGUGAAAUCGCCCGGCUCAACUGGGCGGGUCAGCGGAUACGGUGUGGCUCGAGCAAGCUAGGGGGCAAUGGAAUUCCCGGUGUCAGUGGUGGAAGUGCGUAGAUAUCGGGAGGAACACCAGUGGCGAAGGCGGUUGCCUGGAGCUUUGCUGACGCUGAGGCGCGAAAGCGUGGGGAGCGAGUCCGG
rnacentral:rRNA from 1 species